rnacentral:lncRNA from 1 species
GGCUUUUCAAAAAAAAAAAAACAAUCUCGUGUAUGAAAAUAAAUUUUGUAAUUGGCAGAUUGUAAGAUUUGCAAAAUUUCAAUACCGUUUCAGUUUCAUGUUCACACUGUACGUACACACGUUGAGCUCUAUAAUUAAUUCACAUGUAACAAACAUAUAAACAAAACCAAACUACAUAAUAUGGUACAAAAGAAAUAGGAUCACUCCCCUUUAUUUAUGAAUGAUAACCAAUCACUCCAAUUAUAUAUAUAUAUUACAAAAUCAAAUAUAUGUCACUAAUGUAACACGACAAAGAUAUCUGAAAAUUUGAACAAAAGAAAAUUAAAAACCGGUAGCUCCCAAUCCAUAAUCUCAGAGCAGAAUAGACGUCUCCCUCAUGAAAUCACCAGUGAGUGAAGGGUGGCAUGUCACGGUCUUGAAACUUUUAAAUUCACUGCAACAAGAGAGCAAUUAAAGACGCCAAUAUGGAAGAACAUACCAAAACACCGGUAACCGGCAAAGAAAUCCCUGCUCCAGUGUCCAUUGCCGGAGAAGGAGCGAUAUCCUGUGCCAUGAUUCCGGAUACAUAAAACAGUGCCACAACAAACAUUGCCAGCAGAAUGUGAGCUGCGGAGGUUCCAAACCACGCCAUUUUUUAACACUAAAUUGAAUCACAAAAUUAAGCGAGAGAGAGAGAGAGAGGCGUGGGAAAUUGCGGUAAGAAUUGCUUGGUUUUUGUAUGAAUUGUGCAAAGUACUAAGCUUAGAAUUUAUAGGUCUCUUGGUGGUAUGUGAAAUUUCCUUCAAAUUUCGGAUGCACACAAUGUGAAAGCUUACACUAACAAUUUCCUUUCCAUGCCUUUUAAAUUACGGCUUGUGCAGACCCACAAGCGUUUUAUUUGACUCAUUAAUUU